GCUCUAUCUAGGGAUAUAUGAGUGGUCUGACCAGCAAGUCAGAAUCUUGCCAAAAGGAAGAUGGAUUUUGUGCUUGGAAUACAUUCUGUGAUGUCAACAAAUACUCAUGCUCACUUAAUUCAUCUGAACUUGAUACAUUUGCGGGCGGUUGGCAGGAAGGAGAUUGAGGUGUAGCCAAGGCUGAAAACUCUAAGCAUUCUUACAAGGAAGCAAGUUCCAUUGAACUCAGUUUACUUCUGAGCAAACACACGUAAGAUAGGGGCACACAUUUUGAUUCUGGAAGGGUUGGGGCAGUGGUGGGCAUGGAUGAAGAGCACAAAAGUAAUGAAGGAACAGAGGAAGCUGCCUUAUACUGCCCAUUUAGCUUAGUAUUGUUUACACUAUAAAAGUGGCUCGCCAGGAUUUCAGAGACCAACCUAGAGCUGCUGGGAAUUGAAUCUGCAUGCAGAGCAAAUGCUCUCCCACUGAGCUAUGGGAUGUGAGCAAAGCUAAACAAGUGAAAGUCAGCAUAGUGUAGCAGUUCAAGUAUUAUACUAGAACUGGAGAGACCCAGGUUCAAAUCCCCUCUGUGAUAUGAAGCUCACUAAAGCUAUGCCACGACAGGACCAGCAUCAGGAUUUGGCUUUGAUGGGCACCUGCCAAGGCUCACACAUCAGCAGGAGGCCCACUGCCAGCCCUUUGCUCUGAUGCCUUGGCAUGUUCACCUGCUCUCUCCAAAUAUGUGAAGCUUGUCAAAGCAUGGGAGAGGAGCAGCAGGCUCCAGGUGCCUUGACCUCUCCUCUGGACCAACAGAGUAGAUGGGGCCUGGAAGGAGAUGGGGUUUGUUUGUUUGUUUGUUUGAAUGAAUGAAUUGUGUUGACAGUGGUAAGAAGGAGGGGACUCUACUGCCUCACCUGAACUCUUAUCUCAAAUGCCUGCCUCCUUCCCUCCUUCCGCUCUCCAUCUGUAGUGAGAAGCCUACCAGAUGGUGGGGCUAAAUACAAAAAGUGGUCUAGAUAAGAGUGAGGGCGGUUUGCUAUUGUUACUAGACCUGCAAGUAAACCUGAGUUGAGGGUGGGGAGUGGAUACUGCCUGCUGAUGUCACAAAGACACUUAUGGCUCCCUGAAGCAGGCAAUUAUGGUGUCAUUUCUCUGCAGUUCUUGGGGGAAGGAAGACUUGGGAAGCCUGCUGCCAAGUGAAACGCUGCCAGUUCCCCAUUCACAGUCCUUGCUUCUCCCUCAGAAUCUGGCUGCACACUGCUCCUCUUCAGGCUGCUCUGACAAACUGGGUCAGGAGGGGAGGGGAAAGUGGACUGGGAGAUUCAUUCAGCAAACUCAUGAAACUGAAGACUAGCCCAGAACAUAAUAGUUAAUAAUCAUGGGAUUGAAGACAUUCAACUCAAAGUGGCUACAGGUGCCUCCUACUGUAACAGAAGUUCUAAGUGACCCAUCAACAGCACACAGCAGGGGCAUCACAUUCCAUUUUGUCCCUUAUGGCAAAAUGGAAAAUGCCAUCCUGCCCUGACACCUCUGUGUUACCUGCCGCCCUUCCUCUGUUACAGAUGGAGAAGCCGCAGCAGUAGUGCCAAUCUCACAAGAUCUUGCUCAAAUCUCAUGAGAUCUUCCAUGCUCCACAAUAUCUCACAAGAUUUUGCUGGAGCACCAAUUCUCUGCCAGUGGUGGAGGCACCUGCUGGGGUGGGUGGCUGCUUCAUGCCACCUCAUGGCUGAGCCAGGCCUGCCACACAGAGAGAAUAAGACCUCUCAGCACUCUUUAAAAAACCUACAGCUCCCAUAAUUCUUUGGGGGAAGCCAUGACAGUUUACAAUGGUAUCAUAGUGCUUUAAAUGAAUGGGGCAUUUGUCUUGUACAAACAGAAAAGGAUCCUUCAGUCCAUGGUGGAGGAAUCCUGCUAAUGGAAGGGAAUGAUUUAUUUCCAAUUCCCCACCACCACCACC